UUUCUCAAUAAACAAAUCAAUUCAUUUCUCCCUCCUAUUCUAUUCCAUUUCUUUCAAACUUUCAUCAAACGCUUGAUUCAACGUCAAGCCAAUUUUCUUAAUAAAAACUCAAAAAAUAUUAAUUCAUAGUUAAGAACUUUUCAAUAAGAUGGAAGUGGAACGUGGUGUAUACCGCGCACUCCUGAGACUAGGAUUCGAGAUGUAUAUCUCGCCAAUCCCAGCUCUCGCCAUCAUCCAAAUUUAUCCACUUU
rnacentral:lncRNA from 1 species